GACGAACGCUGGCGGCGUGCUUAACACAUGCAAGUCGAACGGAAAGGCCCCUUUGGGGGUACUCGAGUGGCGAACGGGUGAGUAACACGUGAGUAACCUGCCCUUGACUUCGGGAUAACUUCAGGAAACUGGGGCUAAUACCGGAUAGGAAUCCUUGCUGCAUGGUGGGGGUUGGAAAGCUUCGGCGGUUUUGGAUGGACUCGCGGCUUAUCAGCUUGUUGGUGGGGUAGUGGCUUACCAAGGCUUUGACGGGUAGCCGGCCUGAGAGGGCGACCGGCCACAUUGGGACUGAGAUACGGCCCAGACUCCUACGGGAGGCAGCAGUGGGGAAUAUUGCACAAUGGGCGGAAGCCUGAUGCAGCAACGCCGCGUGCGGGAGGACGGCCUUCGGGUUGUAUACCGCUUUCAGCAGGGGCGAAGCUUGUGGUGACGGUACCUGCAGAAGAAGCACCGGCUAACUACGUG
rnacentral:rRNA from 1 species